UAAGACUAUAUUGUGGUGGGUAAAAGUGGAGCAAAAACUAGAGAGUUUGUUUCAAUUUCAUAUUUUAUCGCUCUUAUUUCAUAAGGAUAUGUUUUUACAGAUGGGCACAGCUACUUUUUUUUAAAUUGCCUAUUAUUUCUUCUUUGCCUUCCUUGGGUUAUUAUUAGACCUUCUUUGAAACCUGAAUUCUUGCUACUCUAACUUUUCCCUUCUCGAUUUGGCCAAAAAGACUAGCUUGCUUUUAUACUCCCAUGUGGACACCAUCAUCAUUGCUUGAUAGUCAAGAAUGUUUUUCCCUGAA